CACGUAGGGGGCAAGCGUUAUCCGGAAUUACUGGGUGUAAAGGGAGCGUAGACGGUAAUGUAAGUCUGGAGUGAAAGGCGGGGGCCCAACCCCCGGACUGCUCUGGAAACUAUGUUACUAGAGUGCAGGAGAGGUAAGCGGAAUUCCUAGUGUAGCGGUGAAAUGCGUAGAUAUUAGGAGGAACACCAGUGGCGAAGGCGGCUUACUGGACUGUAACUGACGUUGAGGCUCGAAAGCGUGGGGAGCAAACAGG
rnacentral:rRNA from 1 species